GAUGAACGCUGGCGGCGUGCCUAAUACAUGCAAGUCGAGCGAAUGGAUUAAGAGCUUGCUCUUAUGAAGUUAGCGGCGGACGGGUGAGUAACACGUGGGUAACCUGCCCAUAAGACUGGGAUAACUCCGGGAAACCGGGGCUAAUACCGGAUAACAUUUUGAACCGCAUGGUUCGAAAUUGAAAGGCGGCUUCGGCUGUCACUUAUGGAUGGACCCGCGUCGCAUUAGCUAGUUGGUGAGGUAACGGCCCACCAAGGCAACGAUGCGUAGCCGACCUGAGAGGGUGAUCGGCCACACCGGGACUGAGACACGGCCCAGACUCCUACGGGAGGCAGCAGUAGGGAAUCUUCCGCAAUGGACGAAAGUCUGACGGAGCAAUGCCGCGUGAGUGAUGAUGGCUUUCGGGUCGUAAAACUCUGUUGUUAGGGAAGAACAAGUGCUAGUUGAAUAAGCUGGCACCUUGACGGUACCUAACCAGAAAGCCACGGCUAACUACGUGCCAGCCGCCGCGGUAA
rnacentral:rRNA from 1 species